UUGAAUUCUUGAAAGGCCAGACUGUCUGUUGAGAGAGGCUGAUCUCUUGUAUGGUUAGACUUGACAGUUGAGAGAGGCUAGUCUGUUGUACUGUUAGACUGGUCUGUUGUGAGAGGCUGGUAUCUUGAAAGAUAUCACUGAUCUUUUGUUGCAUCAUUUGCUUGAAGGCUAGAGAGAAUUUGCUGCUCAAUUGCAUCAACCCAGUCAUCACGAUCCUAAAAACGUUGACAAGCUGUAAAACCCGACUAACAAAAUAAACCCCCUAGGCCUGAGUAUUAAAGAUAUAGAUACUACCGUUCUCCACUUUUGUU